AGAGCGUCCGAAGCACACUCACACGCGCGCGCUCUCUCGCACACACUCACACGUGCGAAAACAAAGUGACGGAGCCGAACACUUGGCCGCUGUUCGGUUGAGCCUCCACGGCACAGCCGCAUCGCCCCUCCACGAAGAAGAAGAAGUUCCCCGUUCGAAGAUGCUGCUGCCUCCGCUGCUGCUGCUGCUGAUGAAGACCCCCACAACCGAGACCCCCACGCAAGUGGCGGCCGCGACGGCUGCGACGAUGCGGAUACCAAACCCGGAACGCGAGUCGGGCGGUCAGCAGCUCGCCAGCGGCUCGACUCCGCAGUGGCCUUGAAGAAGCGGCCACCCGGGCGGGCAACCCUUCACGCAGAGUCGCGCUGCCAACCCCGAGGAUAGGUUUUCAGACGGGACACAACCGUGCCCCACCAUCACCACCACCACCACCACCACAUCCUCUAUCAGCUUCCCAACAAACUCUGACCCCCAUGCCCCCACCCUCCACCCCCACCAGCCCCUCUCACCCCUACCCCAGACCUCAGAGUCCCCUCGGCGCAGCGAUGCUCCAGGCGACGAGAGAGGAAUGGGUGAGUAUAUAGGGUGAGGUAAGUGGGUGGUGAGUGAAUGGCUGAGUGAAGGUGGCUCAGUGAGUGAGUAAAGAGUGUGAGUGACUAGGUGAGUGGGCGAGUGGGUGCGUGGGCGAGUGAGUGAGUGAGUGAAGGUUGAGUGAGUAGGUGAGCGAGUGAAGGGUGAGUGGGCGAGUGGGUGGGUGGGUGAGUGAGUGGAUGAGUGAGUGAAGGGAGAGUAAGUGAAGGGUGCGUGGGCGAGUGAGUGAAGGGUGAGUGAGUGAAGGGAGAGUGAGUGAGUAAAGGGUGAGUGAGUGAAGGGUGAGUGAGUAGGUGAGUGAGUAAGGGGUGAGUGAGUGGGCGAGUGAGUGAGUGGAUGAGUGAGUGAAGGGAGAGUGAAUAGGUGAGUGAAUGAAGGGUGAGUGGGGAGUGAGUGAAGGGUGAGUGAGUGAAGGGUGAGUGAGUAGGUGAUUGAGUGAAGGGAGAGUGAUUGAGUGAGUGAAGGAUGAGUGAGUGAAGGGAGAGUGAGUGAAGGGUGAGUGAGUAGGUGAGUGAAGGGUGCGUGGGCGAGUGAGUGAGUGAGUAGGUGAGUAAGUGAAGGGUGAGUGAAGGGUGAGUGGGGAGUGAAUGAAGGGUGAGUGGGGAGUGAGUGAAGGGUGAGUGAGUAGGUGAGUAAGUGUAAAGUUGGUUUGUGAGGUUGUGGAGUGUGGUGGGUGUUGGGUAUAGGGGUAUAGUGGUGGUUGGUGUUGAUGUUGGUGGUGAUGGUGGGAAGCGGUGGUGUAGUGGUUAGCGCUACGAAACCGGCGACCCGAGUUCGAUUCCCGCUCACGGCCAACAGCGGUGACGAUUUUCUGAACCGGUCCUGGGACUCCACGAGGUCGACUCAGCCUCAAAUUAGUACCUGGUGUGGUGUGUAAACAUCGCCACUGGGGAGAUAAAGGCGGCCAGGGCGUGGUGCUGGCCACCCACCCCCUCAUAAACCGUGCCGGCCUUUAUAGGUACUCGCUAACAGCACUUGCCCCAACAGUCUGUGCAGGCUAUAGGGGAGGGGGGGAAUCUUUGUCUUUGGUGUUAUGGCGUGUGUUUGUGACGUGUGGUUGUUGGGCGAUGUAUGGCUGAGACUGAAUUGUCAUCAUCGACUGCAUCAUCGUCAUUAUCGUCAUCAUCAUCGUCAUCAUCAUCGUCAUAAUCAUCGACUGCAUCAUCAUCAUCGUCAUCAUCAUCAUCAUCGUCGUCAUCAUCGUCAUAAUCAUCAUCGUCGUCAUCGUCGUCAUCAUCAUCAUCAUCGACUGCAACAUCGUCAUCAUCUUCAUCUUCGUUAUCAUCAUCAUCGUCAUCAUCGUCAUCAUCAUCAUCGUCAUCAUCAUCGUCAUCAUCGUCGUCAUCAUCGUCAUCAUCAUCAUCGUCAUCAUCAUCGACUGCAUCGUCAUCAUCAUCAUCGUCGUGAAUCGUCACUGAACCUGGAGCACUGGACUCGAGUCCCAGCGACGGCUGACAUCAGUGGCGAGUGAUCCCGGGACCAGUCCUACAUCGGCAUCACCUGAGCCUGGAAUAAUCAGUCAUCAUCGUUGGCUGAAGCUGGAUGAUAAUGAUAACAAUGAUUAUAUUAUCAUUGACGUGUGCUGAAUAUGCAAAUGUAUUUUAUUAUCUAUCAGACAGCUCCGAUUAGCACGGUUGGCUACGUACGGUGCAAAAAAGUUCAACAUACAUGCAGAUAGGGCUCUUGCCUGGAAUGUCACCUACUAGGCAUGUUUCCCUUCUCGGGCACGGUGAUGUUGAGGGACGUGUUGAUUGUUACGCUGAUUGACGCAUUCUAUGUACGAAGGAUCGUCAGAACUGAGUCUCAAGAUUCGUUUGCGGGAGGUUCCUGCUACAUUGGGAUGUUUGGCCGAUUCGUUAUUGAGUGCAACGGAAACUCGGUCCGGUGUGAUCACGCACCGUGCCUAUUACUGUGCAUGACGCGAUAUACGUUAAUUGUAUAUACUCGGCAAAUUGCUACUCAUUAUGUGGCAGAUGUGUAUAAUUACUUACAAAAACACGCAUAUGAACGCGUACACAUACGAACACACACACACGUUACCACACACACGUAUACACGUGCACACUUGCAUUGAAGUACAGGCACACUCACAUAGACAAAGACAUACACACGUACAAACACACACGCUAACUCUCAUACACAUGCGUACAAUCUCACACAAACACACCAUAUAUCUCUGGCCUCUGGGCCAUGAAGACGUGUUGCCCGAAACGUCGCAUGUGACAGAUAUAUUUCCUUGGAAGGCCGCGUGCGGUGCUAUUGACGAACGCGCUGAGUUUGUAGUUGGUCGAUAGUAAGGACAGUGCGGUCGCGAUGCUGGUACUAGUGGCGUGAGCGCAGGGGUCAAGAGGUCAUCGCCACAGCGGAUGAAGGUCGAGCAGAACGAAUGGCCCAGGAACCGGAUCGAUGCUUUGCUGGAGCUGGUAAAAUGGAACCAGAUCAACUAACCAACGGAUUUGGUCCCCUUCAACCAGCUUGAGCUACGCAUUAUAUACCACGCCAUGCCAAGCCAAGCCACGCCACGAUGGGUGUCAUCAUCAACAUCAUCAUUGUUGUUGUGGUGUUGGGCAUGGGCCUGCUGAUGUCAUGAUGCGGGUUGAUGAUCACGCCGAGUAAACCGUGUAAGUGUUUAAUCGCCACGCCACGUGGAUUGCAACUGCGCGCGAAUGCGUUUAGCAGUCGUCAGGCGCGCGUGCGGCGCGUAACGAGUUUGUAACUUAAAGGGGAGGGAGAUUGGCGAACUGGGGAAGACGUCGAGUGGGUGAGCGCUGAUCAGCGGAAUGUUUUGGUCGAACGCGGUGUUUUAUCGAUGGUGCUCAGCGCUCGAUCGCGGAUUCACUCGUUUGUGUUGUGCACGUGGUGGUGGUGACGACGACGACGAUGAUGAUGAUGACGACGAUGAUGAUGACGACGACGAUGAUGAUUAUGAUGACGACGAAGAUGAUGAUAACGACGACGAUGAUGACGACGACGACGAUGACGACGAUGACGAUGAUGAUGACGAUGAUGAUGAUGGCAUGUGCACGACGGAUGAAGAAAACGCACGAAGCAACGCGUCUUAUUGUUGUCGAAAUCAAACUCGCGGGUAAUUGUUUACACGGACAAAUCACUCUGAACUAUUCAAAUGUAACGGCCAAACAUUACCAAGAAUUAGCACUACCCUCCUGCAAAGGGUCUUGAGACUCGGUUUCUUGGGUACAUGAAUUGUAUUAUUGUUGUUAUUUGAUAUUUUUGUUAACAAAGCAAAGGAAAACUCAUUGCACCGUAUCGACUACCGAGACGAGUGCUGUUCAUGAGCGCCUAUUAAGACGGGGAGGGAACAGCACUCAGUGGAUUGGUACGUAUGUAUGUAUGUAGGUAUGUUGAACUUCUUUUGCACCGUACCUGUGGCCGCUAACGACGCCACCUGACCGGCCACGCCGAGUGCCAUUCACAGCAGCCGCGUAGCUAUCGCUUGCUGGCGAUUCUAGAAGCGUUUUAAAAAGCUUACAAUACAGGGACUUUUACGAACAUUCGACCUACGAACUUUCAGAGAUACGAACAUCUGCCCGUUCGGACCGAGAGUCGUAAGUUUAACUGCCGCGCAAUAGAUGACGGUGGUGCCAUCUACAUCUGCGAAACAUGAAGAACCAGUGGCAUCUACAUCUACAGGAGAUUAUACAACGUUUAAAGCCAUUGCUCGGGUUUAGUGUACACGCCGUGGAACGCGUUUGGAAUCGACAGGAGUGAAGUUGGACUUGAGAACAAAUCGACUUACGAACAGACCUCUGGAGACCAACUCGUUCGUAAGUAGAGGAAUCCCUACUCUUAGGUUUUUUCGGUAAAGUCACGUAGGUAAAAAAUAAGCAUCAUAGAAACCCGAGUUUAUUAUUAUUAUGAUCGAGUGUCCGGGCGGUGCAACUGCGCUAUGAGCCAACGGACCGGAGAGAGUGGGGCAGGGGGCCAGGAGGGGGGGGGGGGUAGGUGCCAAGCAAUUAAAGGGGCUCGAUUUGGACAGGGGGCAGGGGAUGUCGUGCCCAUACGAGCCACGCUUCGCCACUGUGUUCAUCGUGCAUCACUGUGCCUCGUCCAGCCAGAUUGAGGUUACAAAAACAAAGGAUUGGGUCCGCGGCAAAUCAAGAGGUUCAUAGAGCCAGACGAAGGCUCCUCCAAGGUUCAGUCAAGUGACGUGGUUAUCGAGUGUACAGGCUGUGCCACUGCACCGCCUGCAUACUCCAGGCCACUGAGACCCGUAGACUCACAUAGAGACUCGUAGACUCGCAUAGAGACCCAUAGACUCACAUAGAGACGCAUAGGCCCGCAUAGAGACCCACAGACUCGCAUAGAGACCCGUAGACUCACAUAGAAACCCAUAGGCCCGCAUAGAGACCCACAGACUCACAUAGAGACCCACAGACUCGCAUAGAGACCCAUAGACCCGCAUAGAGACCCACAUAGAGACCCGUAGACUCUAAUAUGACCAAUAGUAAGCCCAAAGGCACGUAGACAGAUUCGUAGAGGCGCAUAGACAGAUACAUACUUAGCGACUGAGAUACAUUAAAGGCGAGCCACAGUAGUGCGAAUGCGGCCAUGUAAUAGAAACUACAGACCACAGAGUGACCCACUGUGGGUCUGCGCUCCUCCAACGGAGGAGGAGGAGGAACAGCGACACGACACGAACUCUCUCUGCUGCUGAUGAAGCCCUCUCCUCGUGGCCAGCAGCAACAGGCCUCGACAUUGGCGUCGGGCUCCUGAACCAGAUCACUGAUGCCCACGUAACUACCCAGGUAACUACAGUAUCCAGGUAACUUCAGUACCCAGGUAACUACCCAGGUAACUUCAGUACCCAGGUAACUUCAGUACCCAGGUAACUACCCAGGUAACUUCAGUACCCAGGUAACUUCAGUACCCAGGUAACUAAAGUACCCAGGUAACUAAAGUACCCAGGUAACUUCAGGACCCAUGUAACUUCAGUACCCAGGUAACUACCCAGGUAACUACCAACGAGCUCGCGUCUGUGGUUCACGCUAAAUUGUGAGGUUUGAUAUUAAAUCACGUUUAUUUUGUUGACAAAAAUUA